rnacentral:rRNA from 1 species
GAUGAACGCUGGCGGCGUGCCUAAUACAUGCAAGUCGAGCGAACAGACGAGGAGCUUGCUCCUUCGACGUUAGCGGCGGACGGGUGAGUAACACGUAGGUAACCUACCUAUAAGACUGGGAUAACUUCGGGAAACCGGAGCUAAUACCGGAUAAUAUUUCGAACCGCAUGGUUCGAUAGUGAAAGAUGGCUUUGCUAUCACUUAUAGAUGGACCUGCGCCGUAUUAGCUAGUUGGUAAGGUAACGGCUUACCAAGGCAACGAUGCGUAGCCGACCUGAGAGGGUGAUCGGCCACACUGGAACUGAGACACGGUCCAGACUCCUACGGGAGGCAGCAGUAGGGAAUCUUCCGCAAAGGGCGAAAGCCUGACGGAGCAACGCCGCGUGAGUGAUGAAGGUCUUAGGAUCGUAAAACUCUGUUAUUAGGGAAGAACAAACGUGUAAGUAACUGUGCACGUCUUGACGGUACCUAAUCAGAAAGCCACGGCUAACUACGUG